CCGUUUUAUUUAUUUUUGUAUAUAAAUUUUUAAAAUAAAUUAAUAUUUUUCAAUUUUUUUUUAUUUCCAGCAUAUCUCCUCUUCCGGUUUUUAUAUUUUCUGGAUUUUCUUAUUCUCUGAGCCUCUACUAAUGCCCAUAGUUAUCGAAAUUGACUAUUCUUUCCCAUGAUGAUUUUCUCCUACAAUUUCUUAUAUAAGGUCGCAGAUAAUGUUCUCUCCAUUCACGGAAAAUAUCGUCUCUUUUCAAGUCAAACAGAAACUUUUCAAUGAUAAAAACAAAAAAAUAUUGGUAUCAAUUUUAAGUAGUCAAAUUGAAAGAAAGGCUGACUCAAAAAUUAUUUAUACAAUUUCUGAAGAUGCUACCUAAGCUCUUGUUAUCCAGGAACAUUUUUAGAUGUGCUCAAUGAUACAAUAUAAACUACAAUUCCAUAAUGCAUCAUAUUUUUGAAAUUUUAACAAAAUCUCUGAUAUUUCAUAUAUUAUACUUGAUAGUUUUUUAUAAUAAAAAGAUAACUGUAUAAACAC